AUUAGCCAUGCAUGUCUCAGUACGAGCCGUAUUAAGGUGAAACCGCGAAAGGCUCAUUAAAUCAGUUAUGGUUCCUUAGAUCGUACCCACAUUUACUUGGAUAACUGUGGUAAUUCUAGAGCUAAUACAUGCAAACAGAGCUCCGACCGGAGACGGAAGGAGCGCUUUUAUUAGAUCAAAAUCAAUCGGUGGCGGGUGUCAAAGCCCGUCAUCGUACACCUUGGUGACUCUGAAUAACUUUUUGCUGAUCGCACGGUCUCGCACCGGCGACGCAUCUUUCAAAUGUCUGCCUUAUCAACUGUCGAUGGUAGGUUCUGCGCCUACCAUGGUUGUAACGGGUAACGGGGAAUCAGGGUUCGAUUCCGGAGAGGGAGCCUGAGAAACGGCUACCACAUCCAAGGAAGGCAGCAGGCGCGCAAAUUACCCACUCCCGGCACGGGGAGGUAGUGACGAAAAAUAACGAUACGGGACUCAUCCGAGGCCCCGUAAUCGGAAUGAGUACACUCUAAACCCUUUAACGAGGAUCAAUUGGAGGGCAAGUCUGGUGCCAGCAGCCGCGGUAAUUCCAGCUCCAAUAGCGUAUAUUAAAGUUGUUGCGGUUAAAAAGCUCGUAGUCGAAUUUGUGUCCCGCGCCGUCGGUUCAUCGCUCGCGGUGUUUAACUGGCGAGUCCGCGGGACGUCCUGCCGGUGGGCUUAGCCUCUUCGGGGGCGGCCCAACUUCAAAUCCCACCGCGGUGCUCUUUACCGAGUGUCGAGGUGGGCCGGCACGUUUACUUUGAACAAAUUAGAGUGCUUAAAGCAGGCUAAAACUUCGCCUGAAUACUGUGUGCAUGGAAUAAUGGAAUAGGACCUCGGUUCUAUUUUGUUGGUUUUCGGAACUCCGAGGUAAUGAUUAAUAGGAACGGAUGGGGGCAUUCGUAUUGCGACGUUAGAGGUGAAAUUCUUGGAUCGUCGCAAGACGGACAGAAGCGAAAGCAUUUGCCAAAAACGCUUUCAUUGAUCAAGAACGAAAGUUAGAGGU
rnacentral:rRNA from 1 species